rnacentral:rRNA from 1 species
GACGAACGCUGGCGGCGUGCUUAACACAUGCAAGUCGAACGGAAAGGCCCUGCUUUUGUGGGGUUCUCGAGUGGCGAACGGGUGAGUAACACGUGAGUAACCUGCCCUUGACUUUGGGAUAACUUCAGGAAACUGGGGCUAAUACCGGAUAGGAGCUCCUGCUGCAUGGUGGGGGUUGGAAAGUUUCGGCGGUUGGGGAUGGACUCGCGGCUUAUCAGCUUGUUGGUGGGGUAGUGGCUUACCAAGGCUUUGAUGGGUAGCCGGCCUGAGAGGGUGACCGGCCACAUUGGGACUGAGAUAGGGCCCAGACUCCUACGGGAGGCAGCAGUGGGGAAUAUUGCACAAUGGGCGGAAGCCUGAUGCAGCAACGCCGCGUGCGGGAUAACGGCCUUCGGGUGGUAAACCGCUUUCGCCGGUGACGAAGCGUGAGUGACGGUAAUGGGUAAAGAAGCACCGGCUAACUACGUG